AUGGCAUCUCAUUUCUUCACUGUUCUCACAAAGGUGACCAGCUGUGUGACAAAUCCUUGGAAUCUGGAGCUGACCCCUGAGGGAAUAGUACCAGGAAAUUAUGUUUUGGCUUCACUUCUGAAUCAACAAUGAUGGUCGCCAUCUGCAGAGGAUGAGGGAGAAGGAACAGUUUAGCAUGAGUAUCAGCAUUUCUGAGAGUAAUUAUGUGUUUUUAAUUGACACAGUUUAUAUAUAUGUAUAUAUAUAAUUUUAUUAUAUC
rnacentral:lncRNA from 1 species